UACGAUUAUUCCUGUGGGAAGCCGGAGAAACGCCUCUUGGAAUCGAAACUCUUUCUGGACUUCGAGUUAUUCGCGGUAGAGUGAGAUUUGAGGUUUCACGUUCUGGAAUAUAAUCUUGAUCAUCCGCUGGACCACCCCAAUCGUCAUCUUUCAACUACCUGUGAAGACAGCAAAUCAGCACCAAUCGACUCGACACUCUUUGGAGUAACGAUUUCAUCGACAAAUGGAUCUGCGAAGCACAAAUUAUUGCCUGCGAACGAUGGGGUCAAGUCAGAGAAAAGACACAGUCGAACCGAGACGACCGUGAGAGUUUGCCAGCAGACUCGACUCACAGAUGUAGGAAAAUGGGUCCAUAGUAUAGGAAAGGUCACAAAUAGAAGGUGAACGAAAGCAAGUAAAGUGAGUUGAGUAUAUUUUAUAUUCAAUGUGCAAGAGAAAGAAAGGAUAAUAAGAAUUUCUUUAGGGUGGGACAAGAAAAAUGUCCUCGCUUCUUCUAAAUUUAAAAGUUAUAAUAACAAAAAGAGAAAGAGGAGACAGUGGGUGGUAAUGAGGAGAAAGGGGUGGAGGGAAGAAGAUUUAAAGAGAUUCUCUCUAAGGUUAAAUGACGCCUCUGGCUAUGGGCCAAGAAUGCGGAACUUGAAGAGGUACGAAUUUAAUUUUUUUUUUGACAUUUUUUUCUUAAGUGCGUCAAUCUAAUCCUGAUUAUUUCCAUUUUCUGGGGAAUUUUUGAAAUUUUUUUCUAUACAUUGUAUAUAUAGAUAAUCUUUUACAAGGCGAUUGUUCAAUUAUAAGAGACGGGAGGUAUCGCUUGGAAUGUCGUGAGUUAAUUGAGAAUUCAAAGAGAAUCCUCGGAGCGUGCCACUGAAUGUGAAGAUGAAUUUUUUUCUCUUUCAAUUUUUUUUUGCGCGCGAGGAGAAAAGCAAUGAUACAUCCAAUAGAAUUGAGUUCCCACUGUGUGGAACGAACUGUAUGGACGAGAGAUUUUCCAUUCGUGGCUGUAAAAUAACAAACAGAUUGAAAAAAUCUAUCAAAUGGAAAUGGAAAGCAAUCUAAACUGAAGUGAAACUUGGAAGAAGAAGAUUAGUUUUUGAAAUAAUCAACCCUGGCCUAGAAUGAUUCGCGUUGAAAAAAAAUUGGCAUCUCAAUUACAAAGUUUUGCCUCGAAGGCGCUACAACUUUUCAAUCAGAGAAUCACAUAUUGUAUGUGUAGAGCGAGUAAUUGGCGGCAUUUUCACGCACAUCGUAUAUACUUUUGAAUCCCAAGUGCUUUGACUAUAUAGAAAUAAUUCUUGGGCACGUUUCAAACUCUUGAACGCAACUAAAAUGACCAAAGGCAGUGCGCAUACAUAUUAUCGGAUCUUCACCGCAGGAUUUCCUCAUCGGCUGAUGCGAAGCGUUACAAGGAAUGCAUUUUCGAUUGACUUCCUGCUAAUGAUUACCAAAGGAAUCGUACCUUAUUAUCUGCAAUCAUCGAACUGGCAAAAUGUCUAUCAUCAAACGUCAGUAAAGGAUCAGUGAUCAACGUUUGAUUUUCUACAAUUCUCCAACUAUGGGGCGAGGAAACGGGAGAGAGAGAUAGAAGUUGGGUUUCGCGAUUUAUGUACUAACAUAUGUACACAUAAAGUAAAACCUUUUGCUUGGCAACUUGCGGCUCUUUUCACGGUGCAUCGUACUCGCUCAAGAAAUGUGAAGAUCCUUGAGGGAAAUUUUUCCUUAUACGAAUUAAAUGGAAUGGAUUUUAAAAGGAGGGAAAAAUUGUCGUUCUAGUUAAAGAAUUCUCUAUGUAAUUAAUUGGAAAAUGAAUGUCGAAUGGAUUUCUCAAUAAAUAUAUAUAUAUAUAGAAAACUUUUGGAUUUAAAAAUAAUUUGGAGUCAUGAUUGUUAAUUGGAGCAAUUUUAAGUUAAAAGAUAAUUAUCAAAAUGAAUUCGAAAUGUGGAAAUUGAUUUCGUAAAUUUCAAUUAUAA